GAAAGAACCUGGAGCCCACAUAAGAGCAAGACCGGCCUCAGUCGAGGAAAUGGUGCCACACAUAUUGAUGGGUAAGUCUUUCUAUCUCAGUGAACCUUUUUUUAUGUUUUAUGUUUUUAUGUUUUAUGUUUUUUAUUUGUGUUAACAUAAUACCCAAGCAGGAGGGAUUUUAGAUCAAUUAGGCCAACCUUUUACCAUCUGGAAAAAACAUAAAGCCUCCUUGGGAAAGAGCCCAUUGUUGUUCCUGGAAGAGAAACUUGGUAAUGCUGUAAAAAUCAAGUAUAAAAGACGUGUCUUAAACCCAGGAAAGGAGUAUUUAAAAGGUAUCCCCCAGAGUCAUGGAAAAGCAG
rnacentral:lncRNA from 1 species